UCCCUGGUGGUCCAGUGGUUAAGACUUCAUGCUUCCAAUGCAGGGAGUCCAGGUUCAAUACCUGGUCAGGGAA
rnacentral:tRNA from 1 species